ensembl:piRNA 21ur-13074 ncRNA
UUACUCUUGCAGUCAAAAAAA